CUGAGUUGCAAGACUCCCAAACCACUGUGAACCUUACCAAACGUUGCUUCGGCGGAUCCGCCCCGGCGCUCUCGCGACCGGAACCAGGCGCCCGCCGGGGGAAACACAAACCCUUUGAAACUCUGUGGAUUAUCUGAGUGGCGAAAGCACAAAUACAAUCA
rnacentral:misc_RNA from 1 species